rnacentral:tmRNA from 1 species
CUUGUGAUAGAGUAAUUACGUCGUAGAAAUACGAAUAUGGUAAUAAACAUCGUGAUGAAUAGGCGAUGUGGACCCGGGGGCAGAGCCCGGCACCUCCACCAGUUAUGAAAACGCAUGUUAUUUUGGGGGUGAAUAGAUUCGACACACGUUGAAAAGCACGGUUUUUACUCGUGGUGGUUUACGUUAUAAGACCAAAAACUAUAAAUGCGAACGAUAAUUUCGCUUUGUACGCAUGCAAUGACAAUGUUCCAUUCGAAGAAAGGAUCUAUGCCUAGCAUGUGACACGGUCUGGGGGCACCGGGUAACAGAAGCCCC